UGGGGAAUUUUGGACAAUGGGGGAAACCCUGAUCCAGCCAUCCCGCGUGUGCGAUGAAGGCCUUCGGGUUGUAAAGCACUUUUGGCAGGAAAGAAACGUCGCGGGUUAAUACCCCGCGAAACUGACGGUACCUGCAGAAUAAGCACCGGCUAACUACGUGCCAGCAGCCGCGGUAAUACGUAGGGUGCAAGCGUUAAUCGGAAUUACUGGGCGUAAAGCGUGCGCAGGCGGUUCGGAAAGAAAGAUGUGAAAUCCCAGAGCUUAACUUUGGAACUGCAUUUUUAACUACCGGGCUAGAGUGUGUCAGAGGGAGGUGGAAUUCCGCGUGUAGCAGUGAAAUGCGUAGAUAUGCGGAGGAACACCGAUGGCGAAGGCAGCCUCCUGGGAUAACACUGACGCUCAUGCACGAAAGCGUGGGGAGCAAACAGGAUUAGAUACCCUGGUAGUCCACGCCCUAAACGAUGUCAACUAGCUGUUGGGGCCUUCGGGCCUUGGUAGCGCAGCUAACGCGUGAAGUUGACCGCCUGGGGAGUACGGUCGCAAGAUUAAAACUUAAAGGAAUUGACGGGGGUGCA
rnacentral:rRNA from 1 species